rnacentral:rRNA from 1 species
GACGAACGCUGGCGGCGUGCCUAAUACAUGCAAGUCGAACGCAGUGGGGACGGGUGAGUAACACGUGGGUAACCUCCCAUCAGAGGGGAUAACACUUGGCAACAGGUGCUAAACCGAUCCUGAUGGAUGGACCCGCGUUGCAUUAGCUAGUUGGUGGGGUAACUGCUCACCAAGUCCACGAUGCGUAGCCGACCUGAGAGGGUGAUCGGCCACACUGUGACUGAGACACGGCCCAGACUCCGACGGGAGGCAGAAGUAGGGAAGCUUCGGCAAUGGACGAAAGCCUGACCGAGCAAAGCCGCGUGAGUGAAGAAGGUUUUCGGAUCGUAAAACGCUGUUGUUAGAGAAGCGGUAUCUAACCAGAAAGCCACGGCUAACUACGUGCCAGCAGCCGCGGUAAUAC